rnacentral:lncRNA from 1 species
GCGGGGAUCUUUGUAGAAAAUGGACGGGGUGGGGAUAUGAGGACCCAAGCUUCCGGUAGGUAGCCAUGGGUAUCAAGAUGGCUAACAGAAUACCUCAAACCAACCAGCAAGAGAAGAAAAUUCUGGGAAAGAUGAUCUGGUCCUCAAAGAAAGAAACCAGAAGCAUCUCAUGUGUCUUCCUCCAUGCCCAGGACAUGGCCACCCCAAUGUCUGAACCCAAAUCCAUACCACACCAUCUCUCACUUCCUAGAUGCUGCCGGUGACUUGUGGAAGCUGUGACCUCUGUGUACAAACAUUACCAUCAAGUGAAUAUUAGCCAGAUGGGUGUGUGGGUGGGUGGGUGGAUGGGUGGAUGGAUGGGUGGAUAGAUACAUGAUUAAUUGAUUGAAUGAAUGAAUGAGUGAAUGAGUCAGUGAAUGAAUGAAUGAAUGAUUGGAUGGAUGGAUGGGAUGGAUGAUUGGAUGGAUGGAUGGAUGAUUGGUUGAUUGAAUGAAUGAGUGAAUGAGUGAGUGAGUGAAUGGAGGGAUGGAUGGAUGGAUAGAUGAUUGGAUAGAUAGAUGGAUGGAUGGAUGGAUGGAUAGAUGAAUGGAUGAUUGAAUGAAUGAACGAGUGAAUGAGUGAGUGGAUGGAUGGAUGGAUGGCUGUAGUACCUACUUUGGAUUCUAGCUUGAGAGA